GGAAGCGUGGCAGAGUGGUUAAAUGCACCGGUCUUGAAAACCGGCAACGGGCAACCGUUCGUGAGUUCGAAUCUCACCGCUUCCGCCA
rnacentral:tRNA from 1 species